CUAAUACCGCAUACGUCCUACGGGAGAAAGCGGGGGAUCUUCGGACCUCGCGCCAUUAGAUGAGCCCGCGCUAGAUUAGCUUGUUGGUGGGGUAAUGGCCUACCAAGGCGACGAUCUAUAGCUGGUUUGAGAGGAUGAUCAGCCACACUGGGACUGAGACACGGCCCAGACUCCUACGGGAGGCAGCAGUGGGAAUAUUGGACAAUGGGCGCAAGCCUGAUCCAGCAAUGCCGCGUGAGUGAUGAAGGCCUUAGGGUUGUAAAGCUCUUUCAAUGGGGAAGAUAAUGACGGUACCCAUAGAAGAAGCCCCGGCUAACUCCGUG
rnacentral:rRNA from 1 species